rnacentral:rRNA from 1 species
UCUUCCGCAAUGGACGAAAGUCUGACGGAGCAACGCCGCGUGAGUGACGAAGGCCUUCGGGUCGUAAAGCUCUGUUGUUAGGGAAGAACAAGUACCGUUCGAAUAGGGCGGUACCUUGACGGUACCUAACCAGAAAGCCACGGCUAACUACGUGCCAGCAGCCGCGGUAAUACGUAGGUGGCAAGCGUUGUCCGGAAUUAUUGGGCGUAAAGCGCGCGCAGGCGGUCUUUUAAGUCUGAUGUGAAAGCCCACGGCUCAACCGUGGAGGGUCAUUGGAAACUGGAGGACUUGAGUGCAGAAGAGGAGAGUGGAAUUCCACGUGUAGCGGUGAAAUGCGUAGAUAUGUGGAGGAACACCAGUGGCGAAGGCGGCUCUCUGGUCUGUAACUGACGCUGAGGCGCGAAAGCGUGGGGAGCAAACAGGAUUAGAUACCCUGGUAGUCCACGCCGUAAACGAUGAGUGCUAGGUGUUGGGGGGUUCCACCCUCAGUGCUGAAGUUAACACAUUAAGCACUCCGCCUGGGGAGUACGACCGCAAGGUUGAAACUCAAAGGAAUUGACGGGGGCCCGCACAAGCAGUGGAGCAUGUGG